rnacentral:rRNA from 1 species
AUGCUCCCCGCCCCAACUCCGGCCGCCGAGACAGCCAUCUGCCCGCCGUCGCCGCCGCCUCCUCCUCCUCCCGUCCUCCUACCCGCCAAAGCCCUAGACCUCAUGUGGCGCCGCCUACCCUCCCGCCGCCUCGCCUCCGCCCUCCUCUCCGCCUCCGCGCCGCAGCUUCCCCCUCCUCCUCUCCACCGCCUACUCCUUCCAGCCCCAGCUGCUGCCCCCGGAAUCCUCCCUCCGGCGCGCCUCCUGUGGGGGCAGCCACCCUCGCGAUUCGCGUCGUCCUCCGCUGCGGCCGCCGAGGCCGUCUCCUCCGAGGAGGUGGACGAGCCGCACCACGCGCCCGAGGAGAUUGUCCGCUUGGGCCCCAAUACAAAGCUGCCUGUGGCGGAGGCUGCAACCGCAGGUCAGGCGGGGAAGAAGGAGCGGAGGAGGGGGCGCGGGCAGGGGAGGCAGCUGGCAGAGUUGGCGGCGGAGCAUGGCAUUGGGUACUCCAAGUACGUCUCACUGCGCCAGCGGCAAAUCCGGAUCGAGACCGAGGCGUGGGAGCAGGCGGCUAAGGAGUACCGCGAGCUGCUCGCCGACAUGUGCGAGCAUAAGCUGGCGCCCAACCUGCCCUAUGUCAAGUCACUCUUCCUUGGCUGGUUUGAGCCACUGAGGGACCAGAUCAUCGCUGAGCAGGAGCUUGUCAGCCAGCGUGGGACACGCGCCUCCCACGCCCCGUAUUUUAACAUGCUUCCGGCCGACAUGAUGGCCGUUAUCACCAUGCACAAGCUCAUGGGGCUGCUUAUGACCGGCAGUGGCGAUGGAAGCGUCCGUGUGAUCCAGGCCGCUUGCCAGAUAGGUGAAGCAGUUGAGCAUGAGGUUCGAAUCCACAAAUUUCUAGAGAAGACAAAGAAAAAGAACACUAAAGAAGUAGAUAAAGUAGUAGAAGCAGUGGAUGCAGAUAUUGCCAAAGAACAAGAGCGUUUAAGAAAGAAAGUCACUGAUCUGAUGAAAAAGCAGAAGAUACGGCAAGUCAGGCAUUUAGUGAAGAAGCAAGAUAGCACCAGGCCAUGGGGUCAAGAUGCUCAUGCAAAAGUUGGCAGCCGUUUGAUUGAGCUAUUUAUUGAAACGGCCCAUAUACAACCACCUGCUAGUCAGUCUGGAGAUAGUACACCUGAAAUCCGACCUGCUUUCACACAUGAAAUGAGAACUGUGGCAAGAGAACAACAGAAAAGUCGACGAUAUGGUGUGAUCAAGUGCGAUCCACUGGUUCGACAAGGCCUGGAUAGAACAGCAAAGCAUAUGGUCAUACCUUACAUGCCUAUGUUGAUUCCGCCAAUCAAUUGGACUGGAUAUGACAAGGGUGCACAUUUAUUUUUGCCAUCCUACGUGAUGCGCACCCAUGGAGCUAGGCAACAAAGGGAGGCUGUAAAAAAGGCUCCAAAGGAACAGAUGCAAACAAUUUUUGAGGCCUUAGAUAAUCUUGGGAGCACCAAGUGGAGGGUCAACAAAAAAGUUCUUAGUAUUGUUGACAGAAUUUGGUCCAGUGGUGGCCGACUUGCUGACUUGGUUGAUCGUGCUGACGUUUCCCUACCGAAGAAGCCUGACACUGAAGAUGAAGCUGAGCUGAAGAAGUGGAGGUGGAGCAUGAGGUCAGCCAAGAAGGAAAACAGUGAAAGGCAUUCUCAGAGAUGUGAUGUUGAGCUUAAACUUGCCGUAGCUCGCAAAAUGAAGGAAGAAGCGGGGUUUUACUAUCCACACAACCUUGAUUUUAGAGGCCGUGCUUACCCAAUGCAUCCUUACCUGAAUCACUUGGGUUCAGAUCUUUGUCGUGGAGUGUUGGAGUUUUCUGAAGGUCGACCACUUGGUGAAUCAGGCUUGCGCUGGCUGAAGAUACACCUAGCAAAUUUAUAUGGUGGAGGUGUAGACAAGUUGUCAUACGAUGGCCGGAUUGCAUUUACUGAGAAUCACCUGGAGGACAUAUUUGACUCAGCUAAUAGGCCUCUUGAAGGCAAGCGUUGGUGGCUUGAGGCAGAGGAUCCAUUCCAAUGCCUGGCAGUUUGCAUGGAUCUUAAUGAAGCUUUAAGAAGCCCCUCUCCAGAAACAGUGAUCUCACAUAUUCCUGUGCACCAGGAUGGUUCUUGUAAUGGCCUGCAGCACUAUGCAGCUCUUGGAAGGGAUAAGCUGGGUGCAGUUGCUGUUAACUUAGUUUCCGGAGAGAAACCUGCAGAUGUUUACUCUGGAAUAGCUGCCAGGGUGGUGGAAAUUAUGAAGAGAGAUGCACAAAAAGAUCCAGCUAAAGAUGCUGAUGCAGCACGUGCUCGUUUGUUAGUUGAUCAGGUGGAUAGGAAAUUGGUAAAACAAACAGUGAUGACAUCUGUCUAUGGUGUGACUUACGUUGGAGCACGUGAACAAAUAAAAAGAAGAUUAAAGGAGAGGGGGGUCAUUGCUGAUGACUCGGAACUUUUUGGUGCUUCAUGCUAUGCUGCUAAGGUCACGCUGACAGCACUUGGUGAGAUGUUCGAAGCUGCUCGUAGUAUCAUGACCUGGCUAGGAGACUGUGCCAAGGUUAUAGCUUGUGAAAAUGAACCUGUGAGAUGGACGACCCCUCUGGGACUUCCAGUUGUUCAACCAUAUCGCAAACUAGGGAGGCAUCUUAUUAAAACUUCGUUACAAGUCCUGACCCUUCAACGAGAAACCGACAAGGUUAUGGUGAAGCGGCAGAGGACAGCUUUCCCUCCAAACUUUGUACACUCCCUUGAUGGCUCUCAUAUGAUGAUGACUGCUGUUGCUUGCAAAAAGCAAGGCCUAUAUUUUGCAGGAGUUCAUGAUUCAUAUUGGACCCAUGCUUGUGAUGUUGAUACAAUGAACAAGAUACUUCGGGAAAAGUUUGUGGAACUGUAUGAUGCGCCUAUUUUAGAAAAUCUCUUGGAGAGCUUUGAGACAUCUUUCCCUAAAUUAAAAUUCCCACCGUUGCCAGAGAGGGGAAAUUUUGAUAUGAAGGAUGUCCUCCAGUCUACGUAUUUCUUCAACUAG